AUUCUUAUAGUUUAAGAAAACAUUGCAUUUUCAUUGCAAAAUUGAAUAGCCAUAUUCUAAGAAUU
rnacentral:tRNA from 1 species